GCCUCAGUAACGGCGAGUGAAGCGGCAACAGCUCAAAUUUGAAAUCUGGCGCAAGCCCGAGUUGUAAUUUGUAGAGGAUGCUUCAGGGCAGCGGCCGGUCUAAGUUCCUUGGAACAGGACGUCAUAGAGGGUGAGAAUCCCGUAUGCGACCGGUUGGCACCCGUCACGUAGCUCCUUCGACGAGUCGAGUUGUUUGGGAAUGCAGCUCUAAAUGGGUGGUAAAUUCCAUCUAAAGCUAAAUACCGGCCAGAGACCGAUAGCGCACAAGUAGAGUGAUCGAAAGAUGAAAAGCACUUUGGAAAGAGAGUUAAAAAGCACGUGAAAUUGUUGAAAGGGAAGCGCAUGCAACCAGACUUGUCGGCGGUGUUCCGCCGGUCUUCUGACCGGUCUACUCGCCGCCGGCAGGCCAGCAUCAUCUGGGUGCGCCGGAUAAAGGCGUGGGGAAUGUAGCUCCUCGGAGUGUUAUAGCCCCGCGCACAAUACGGCGCCGCCCGGGUGAGGUCCGCGCUUCGGCUAGGAUGCUGGCGUAAUGGUUGUAUGCGGCCCGUCUUGAAACACGGACCAAGGAGUCUAACAUCUAUGCGAGUGUUCGGGUGUCAAACCCCUACGCGGAAUGAAAGUGAACGGAGGUGGGAAGCGCAAGCUGCACCAUCGACCGAUCCUGAUGUCUUCGGAUGGAUUUGAGUAAGAGCAUAGCUGUUGGGACCCGAAAGAUGGUGAACUAUGCCUAAAUAGGGUGAAGCCAGAGGAAACUCUGGUG
rnacentral:rRNA from 1 species